rnacentral:rRNA from 1 species
GUGAACGCUGGCGGUAGGCCUAACACAUGCAAGUCGAACGGCAGCACAGUAAGAGCUUGCUCUUACGGGUGGCGAGUGGCGGACGGGUGAGGAAUACAUCGGAAUCUACUUUUUCGUGGGGGAUAACGUAGGGAAACUUACGCUAAUACCGCAUACGACCUACGGGUGAAAGCAGGGGAUCUUCGGACCUUGCGCGAUUGAAUGAGCCGAUGUCGGAUUAGCUAGUUGGCGGGGUAAAGGCCCACCAAGGCGACGAUCCGUAGCUGGUCUGAGAGGAUGAUCAGCCACACUGGAACUGAGACACGGUCCAGACUCCUACGGGAGGCAGCAGUGGGGAAUAUUGGACAAUGGGCGCAAGCCUGAUCCAGCCAUACCGCGUGGGUGAAGAAGGCCUUCGGGUUGUAAAGCCCUUUUGUUGGGAAAGAAAAGCAGCAGGUUAAUACCCCGCUGUCCUGACGGAACCCAAAGAAUAAGCACCGGCUAACUUCGUG